GACGAACGCUGGCGGCGUGCUUAAUACAUGCAAGUCGAGCGGAGCGGCGAACGGGUGAGUUACGCGUGCGUAACUGCCCCCCUCUCUGGGAUAACAUCUGGAAACGGCUGCUAAUACCGGAUAGUGGGGGAUGACUCGCGUCCUAUCAGCUUGUGGGUGGGGUAGUGGACUACCAAGGCGACGACGGGUAGCCGGCCUGAGAGGGCGACCGGCCACAUUGGACGGAGACACGGUCCAGACUCCUACGGGAGGCAGCAGUGGGGAAGAUGUCACAAUGGGCGCAAGCCUGAUGCAGCAAUGCCGUGUGUAUGAAGAAGGCUUUCGGGUUGUAAAAGACAUUAAGAAAGGAGGUGGAUAUGAGCAGCGAUUGACGGGACCGCAUAAGAAGCACCGGCUAACUCCGUGUCAGCAGCCGCGGUAAUUC
rnacentral:rRNA from 1 species